CUGUAGGGAAUUCCAUUGUGUUUACACUAUGGGUCGUUAUGGCGUCAGAAACCUUGAAUCCCCCUAUUGUUGCAGUACGACGAUAGUUAAUUAGCCUUUCUCACGAUGACGAAUGCUCACCAUUUUUGGGUGGCAUCUAAUUCUCGUUAACCAACAAUGCAGACAAUUAAAACAAUGUGAGAAGCAGUUCUUCAAAAUAAACUAACCAUUUACAAAGCAAAUUUGCCAUCAUUCGUCCAAAAAAUUAUAAAAACUCGCUGUUAUGUGGC